GGCUUCGUGGUCAAAUGGUGAGGAUACGUGACUCUCACCCUAGAGUCCCAGGUUCGAUCUCCGGGCGAGGAGCUA